AUUGAACGCUGGCGGCAGGCCUAACACAUGCAAGUCGAGCGAGUGGCGGACGGGCGAGCAAUGUAGGGGAAACUGCUCGAUGGAGGGGGAUAACUACUGGAAACGGUAGUUAAUACCGCAUACCAUCGGAGGAGCACAGAUGGGAUUAGCUAGUAGGUGGGGUAACGGCUCACCUAGGCGACGAUCCCUAGCUGGUCUGAGAGGAUGACCAGCCACACUGGAACUGAGACACGGUCCAGACUCCUACGGGAGGCAGCAGUGGGGAAUAUUGCACAAUGGGCGCAAGCCUGAUGCAGCCAUGCCGCGUGUAUGAAGAAGGCCUUCGGGUUGUAAAGUACUUUCAGCGGGGAGGCGUUACUCGCAGAAGAAGCACCGGCUAACUCCGUGCCAGCAGCCGCGGUAAUAC
rnacentral:rRNA from 1 species